GGGUUGUGAGGUUAAGCGACUAAGCGUACACGGUGGAUGCCCUGGCAGUCAGAGGCGAUGAAGGACGUGCUAAUCUGCGAUAAGCGUCGGUGAGGUGAUAUGAACCGUUAUAACCGGCGAUUUCCGAAUGGGGAAACCCAGUGUGUUUCGACACACUAUCAUUAACUGAAUCCAUAGGU
rnacentral:rRNA from 1 species